GCGGACGAACUUAAAAAAGAGCGCGCCA
rnacentral:piRNA from 1 species